rnacentral:rRNA from 1 species
GUGGGGAAUCUUCCACAAUGGACGAAAGUCUGAUGGAGCAACGCCGCGUGAGUGAAGAAGGGUUUCGGCUCGUAAAGCUCUGUUGUCGGGGACGAAUGUGCAGUAUUUGAAUAAAGUACUGUAAUGACGGUACCUGACGAGGAAGCCACGGCUAACUACGUGCCAGCAGCCGCGGUAAUACGUAGGUGGCAAGCGUUGUCCGGAAUUAUUGGGCGUAAAGGGAGCGCAGGAGGGAAGGUAAGUCGGUCUUAAAAGUGCGGGCUCAACCCCGUGAUGGGAUCGAAACUAUCUUUCUUGAGUGCAGGAGAGGAAAGUGGAAUUCCUAGUGUAGCGGUGAAAUGCGUAGAUAUUAGGAGGAACACCAGUGGCGAAGGCGACUUUCUGGACUGUAACUGACGCUGAGGCUCGAAAGCCAGGGGAGCGAACGGGAUUAGAAACCCUGGUAGUCC